rnacentral:sRNA from 1 species
CCUACUGCCCCCCUCUACAAGGACGAGAAGGAGCAGCUCAUCAUUCCCCAAGUGCCACUCUUCAACAUCCUGGCCAAGUUCAAUGGCAUCACUGAGAAGGUAGCCCAUUAACACACCUGCCCUGCCUAUACUUAUCCUUCCUCGCUCGACUUUUUCAUUUUCUUUUCAAGACAGAGUUUUGCUCUUGUCACCCAGGCUGGAGUUCAGUGGCAUGAUUUCGGCUCACUGCAAUCUCCACCUCCCAGUUUCAAGUGAUCCCCCUGCCUCGGCCUCCUACAGUGAUAGGAUUAUAG